CCUACGGGUGGCAGCAGUGAGGAAUAUUGGUCAAUGGCCGGAAGGCUGAACCAGCCAUGCCGCGUGAAGGUCAGUGCCCUAUGGGCGUUAAACUUCUUUUGUGCGGGAGCAAUAAUGGUCACGUGUGGCCAGACGAGAGUACCGUACGAAUAAGCAUCGGCUAACUCCGUGCCAGCAGCCGCGGUAAUACGGGGGAUGCAAGCGUUAUCCGGAUUUAUUGGGUUUAAAGGGUGCGUAGGCUGUGAGGUAAGUCAGCGGUGAAAUGCCCCCGCUCAACGGGGUGAAGUGCCAUUGAUACUGCCUUGCUUGAAUGCGGAUGCCGUGGGAGGAAUGUGUGGUGUAGCGGUGAAAUGCAUAGAUAUCACACAGAACACCGAUUGCGAAGGCAUCUCACGAAUCCGCGAUUGACGCUGAUGCACGAAAGCGUGGGUAGCAAACAGGAUUAGAUACCCCUGUAGUC
rnacentral:rRNA from 1 species